UACGGCGGUCAUAGCGUGGGGGAAACGCCCGGUCCCAUUCCGAACCCGGAAGCUAAGACCCACAGCGCCGAUGGUACUGCACCCGGGAG
rnacentral:rRNA from 1 species